UACGUAGGGGGCAAGCGUUGUCCGGAUUUAUUGGGCGUAAAGAGCGUGUAGGCGGCCAUGUAGGUCCGUUGUGAAAACUCGAGGCUCAACCUCGAGACGCCGAUGGAAACCAUGUGGCUAGAGUCCGGAAGAGGAGAGUGGAAUUCCUGGUGUAGCGGUGAAAUGCGCAGAUAUCAGGAGGAACACCGGUGGCGAAGGCGGAUCUCUGGGCCAUUACUGACGCUGAGGAGCGAAAGCGUGGGGAGCGAACAGG
rnacentral:rRNA from 1 species